AUAUAUAUAUAUAUAUAUAUAUCAAUUUAUAUAUAUAUACUAACUAUCGCUACUAUCGUUUCGUUACGUUUCGCUUUAAACACUCGUGUCGGGCAAACAUAAAUUGCAAUACGUUCAACUCGAUUGACGAAAGCCGAGCUAACUGUAAAGCAACAACAACAGCAGCAGCGGCAACAACAACAACAACAACAACGCAUCGAUUGUGUUCCUAGUCAAAUUUGUUCCAUUUUUUUUCGCUUUUUGUUACACUGUGCAAAAGCCAAGCCAAGCUAAGCAAAGCAAACGCAGCAACAAUACCAAUAACAACAACAACAACUACAGCUAAAACUCAAGCAACAACAACAGCAGCGUGCGACAGAGCGAGAUAGCUGUUGCCAACGCAGCAUUUGAGUGAGCGAGCGCGAGCAAGCAUUUUGCAAUCAAUAGAGCCAAAAAAAAGAAGAAAUUUUUUUUUCUUGCUGCUUCUUCGUUCAUAUAUAUAUAUCGAAGUAUAUAUAUAUAUGUUUUUGCUAUCUAUAUAUUUUUUUUUGCGACGUGUCUGUGUUGACUUUAUCGUAUUGCACAAAUCUAUUGAGUACGAAACGAGCGAGCAAUCGAACAGCUAAUUAUCAUUUAUCAGACACGUUCUGG